rnacentral:piRNA from 1 species
UGGGAAGAGUGAGGAGGUACCUUUUCCUU